rnacentral:rRNA from 1 species
CGGAGGGUGCAAGCGUUAUCCGGAUUCACUGGGUUUAAAGGGUGCGUAGGUGGGUUGGUAAGUCCGUGGUGAAAUCCCCAAGCUUAACUUGGAACUGCCGUGGAUACUAUCAAUCUUGAAUAUCGUUGAGGUAAGCGGAAUAUGUCAUGUAGCGGUGAAAUGCUUAGAUAUGACAUAGAACACCGAUAGCGGAGGCAGCUUACUAAGCGAUCAUUGACACUGAGGCACGAAAGCGUGGGGAGCAAACAGGAUUAGAUACCCUGGUAGUCCACGCCCUAAACGAUGACUACUCGACAUACGCGAUACACAGUGUGUGUCUGAGCGAAAAGCAUUAAGUAAUCCACCUGGGAAGUACGAUCGCAAGAUUG